UACGUAGGGUGCAAGCGUUGUCCGGAAUUAUUGGGCGUAAAGAGCUCGUAGGCGGCUUGUCGCGUCGGCUGUGAAAACCUGGGGCUCAACCCCGGGCCUGCAGCCGAUACGGGCAAGCUAGAGUUCGGUAGGGGAGACUGGAAUUCCUGGUGUAGCGGUGAAAUGCGCAGAUAUCAGAAGGAACACCGGUGGCGAAGGCGGGUCUCUGGGCCGAUACUGACGCUGAGGAGCGAAAGCGUGGGGAGCGAACAGG
rnacentral:rRNA from 1 species